AUGCAGGCUGCUCCUGUGGCCUCCGAGACAGCGCCCCCCGCCCCAACGCUGUCGCAUUUGGGCUGGGAGCCUGUCGCGGGCCGGGGGCAGAGAUGUGGUGAGCAGCCAGCUGGCCUUGGCUGGGAAACUGAAAUAUUAAUCACUCCGCAAACUGCCAGCCUGUUCCCAGGUGCGUUCCUUGACAGUGCUUGUUCCCAUAAGGCCCGAGCACUCCAGGCUGGCUGGAGCCCACUGCAGGUGCACCAGGCAGGCGGGGAGCGUGUGCGCAUGUCUGCCCCCACUCAGCAUCUCCAGGGAGGUGCUCACCUCCUAAGCAUGACGCUACCCACUGUGAGCCAUCCAGAGCGAGUAAGAGAAAAUGGUUAAUAAAACGCAUGCCAGGAAAAAGAAAGCAAAUUAGGGGCUGCUGUCUGGGCUGGGAGGGCUUCUCUGACUUCAGGAAAAAUAGAACAGAUGGUGAUUUUUUCUCAGCCCGAAGGACGUCAUACCCAGAGCACCACCAGCUUUCCUGUUCUAGCAAGUGUCUCCUGGACACCUUUUUAAUAGUCCGAUUCUCAUGCUGACAAGCCACCAGUGCCACUCUGUAGAUAGAUUCUCCAUUUCUUUGGCAGAACUGACUUUAAAAUGCUUAUGUGCCCUGAUGCCGGUGGGGUGGGAGUACGAUUGAUAUCAUUUUUCUACCAUAAGCACAGNNNNNNNNNNNNNNNNNNNNNNNNNNNNNNNNNNNNNNNNNNNNNNNNNNNNNNNNNAGGAGGUAUAGUCGCUACAAGCCAGCAGUCAGAGCCGAGGCCUGGCCCUUCCCAACCAGGUGAAAGGUUUGAUGAACAAAUGGGCAGUGAUCUUUUUUCUCCUGAACCAGGGAAGGGGCAAGGGAAGACACAAGGAGGCCAAGAACAGAGAAUUUUGUCAGUUAAGACUCUUUCUCAAACUUGCAAGCGGAAAAGGUUUUUCUGAAGAGUUCCAAGCAUGUUUUUGCAAGACAUUAAAAAAGAAGAAAGGUUAAGUCUAAAAAUUGUAGAUUGGCCCAAUAUUCCCUGAACUCCAUGCAUUGCUUGUGGUAUUUUUGAAAAAAGAAAGGAAUUUUGCUUUGAAAAUGUCAUACUCCAAAGAAGUUUUUGUAAGUUAUUUGUAGGGGAGUUGACUCCUAUUUGGUUGAGUGGAUGAUCUGAGUCUUCCCUUAAAGAUGUUUCAAACUGUUCCAAUCUCUCUCCCUGGUUUUUUUUUUUCGUCCAAACAAUAGAAGUUCAGUUCAGUUCAGUCACUCAGUCUUGUCCGACUCUUUGCAACCCCA
rnacentral:lncRNA from 1 species